CGCUUGUAUGCAUAUAGAAGUAUGUAAAAUUGUGGUCUUCUAAUCAUAUCUGGUUUGGAGGAACUCUAAUUGAUCAGGAAGUAUGAAUCCUAAUACCAGUGGGAUACUUAAUCAAACAGUGCGUUUACAUUGAGAUAUAGGAGUAUCUUAAGAAUUCCAAAUUCUAUAUGGAUUAAAACAUCCUAUUCCUAAGCAAACAGGAUUCCUUUGAGUAGUCCUUGAUGGGUAAGGUACUGGAAUAGAUACUUGUAAAUAAGGUCCCUUACCUAUCGGUAAAAGCACACUCAUAAUAGAAAAUUCACCCCAUCCAGAGAUAGAGAUAAAGUGCCGAG
rnacentral:lncRNA from 1 species